UGCUGGAGGUAUCAGAAGUGCGAAUGCUGACAUAAGUAACGAUAAAGCGGGUGAAAAGCCCGCUCGCCGGAAGACCAAGGGUUCCUGUCCAACGUUAAUCGGGGCAGGGUGAGUCGACCCCUAAGGCGAGGCCGAAAGGCGUAGUCGAUGGGAAACGGGUUAAUAUUCCCGUACUUGGUGUUACUGCGAAGGGGGGACGGAGAAGGCUAUGUUGGCCGGGCGACGGUUGUCCCGGUUUAAGCGUGUAGGUGUGUGUUCCAGGUAAAUCCGGUUCACUUUAACACUGAGGCGUGAUGACGAGGCACUACGGUGCUGAAGCAACAAAUGCCCUGCUUCCAGGAAAAGCCUCUAAGCAUCAGGUAACAUCAAAUCGUACCCCAAACCGACACAGGUGGUCAGGUAGAGAAUACCAAGGCGCUUGAGAGAACUCGGGUGAAGGAACUAGGCAAAAUGGUGCCGUAACUUCGGGAGAAGGCACGCUGACACGUAGGUGAAGUGAUUUACUCACGGAGCUGAAGUCAGUCGAAGAUACCAGCUGGCUGCAACUGUUUAUUAAAAACACAGCACUGUGCAAACACGAAAGUGGACGUAUACGGUGUGACGCCUGCCCGGUGCCGGAAGGUUAAUUGAUGGGGUCAGCGCAAGCGAAGCUCCUGAUCGAAGCCCCGGUAAACGGCGGCCGUAACUAUAACGGUCCUAAGGUAGCGAAAUUCCUUGUCGGGUAAGUUCCGACCUGCACGAAUGGCGUAAUGAUGGCCAGGCUGUCUCCACCCGAGACUCAGUGAAAUUGAACUCGCUGUGAAGAUGCAGUGUACCCGCGGCAAGACGGAAAGACCCCGUGAACCUUUACUAUAGCUUGACACUGAACAUUGAGCCUUGAUGUGUAGGAUAGGUGGGAGGCUUUGAAGUGUGGACGCCAGUCUGCAUGGAGCCGACCUUGAAAUACCACCCUUUAAUGUUUGAUGUUCUAACGUGGACCCGUAAUCCGGGUUGCGGACAGUGUCUGGUGGGUAGUUUGACUGGGGCGGUCUCCUCCUAAAGAGUAACGGAGGAGCACGAAGGUUGGCUAAUCCUGGUCGGACAUCAGGAGGUUAGUGCAAUGGCAUAAGCCAGCUUGACUGCGAGCGUGACGGCGCGAGCAGGUGCGAAAGCAGGUCAUAGUGAUCCGGUGGUUCUGAAUGGAAGGGCCAUCGCUCAACGGAUAAAAGGUACUCCGGGGAUAACAGGCUGAUACCGCCCAAGAGUUCAUAUCGACGGCGGUGUUUGGCACCUCGAUGUCGGCUCAUCACAUCCUGGGGCUGAAGUAGGUCCCAAGGGUAUGGCUGUUCGCCAUUUAAAGUGGUACGCGAGCUGGGUUUAGAACGUCGUGAGACAGUUCGGUCCCUAUCUGCCGUGGGCGCUGGAGAACUGAGGGGGGCUGCUCCUAGUACGAGAGGACCGGAGUGGACGCAUCACUGGUGUUCGGGUUGUCAUGCCAAUGGCACUGCCCGGUAGCUAAAUGCGGAAGAGAUAAGUGCUGAAAGCAUCUAAGCACGAAACUUGCCCCGAGAUGAGUUCUCCCUGAGACUUAGAGUCUCCUGAAGGAACGUUGAAGACGACGACGUUGAUAGGCCGGGUGUGUAAGCGCAGCGAUGCGUUGAGCUAACCGGUACUAAUGAACCGUGAGGCUUAACCUU
rnacentral:rRNA from 3 species